CGAGUGGCGAACGGGUGAGUAACACGUGGGUGAUCUGCCCUGCACUUCGGGAUAAGCCUGGGAAACUGGGUCUAAUACCGGAUAGGAGCCAUUUUUAGUGUGAUGGUUGGAAAGUUUUUUCGGUGUAAGAUGAGCUCGCGGCCUAUCAGCUUGUUGGUGGGGUAAUGGCCUACCAAGGCGGCGACGGGUAGCCGGCCUGAGAGGGUGGACGGCCACAUUGGGACUGAGAUACGGCCCAGACUCCUACGGGAGGCAGCAGUGGGGAAUAUUGCACAAUGGGCGCAAGCCUGAUGCAGCGACGCCGCGUGGGGGAUGACGGCCUUCGGGUUGUAAACUCCUUUCGCUAGGGACGAAGCUUUUUGUGACGGUACCUAGAUAAGAAGCACCGGCUAACUACGUGCCAGCAGCCGCGGUAAUACGUAGGGUGCGAGCGUUGUCCGGAAUUACUGGGCGUAAAGGGCUCGUAGGUGGUUUGUCGCGUCGUCUGUGAAAUUCCGGGGCUUAACUCCGGGCGUGCAGGCGAUACGGGCAUAACUUGAGUACUGUAGGGGUAACUGGAAUUCCUGGUGUAGCGGUGAAAUGCGCAGAUAUCAGGAGGAACACCGAUGGCGAAGGCUGGUUACUGGGCAGUUACUGACGCUGAGGAGCGAAAGCAUGGGUAGCGAACAGGAUUAGAUACCCUGGUAGUCCAUGCCGUAAACGGUGGGCGCUAGGUG
rnacentral:rRNA from 1 species